rfam:Myotis lucifugus cont2.4870, whole genome shotgun sequence.
UUUUUUGCCUAAGUAUGUCCUAUGCAAUAUUUGGGACAUAUUUAAGCUAAAA